CGAAAGGUACAAUUAAAGAUAACGCAAAAGAGGAGGUGUAUUGCAAUGAAUUCCCAGCUGAUAUUGGAGAAAAACAAAGUGGACGAGAUGUGAAUACUUCCCCUUAUGCAGAACUAAGAGAACUCGACCACCAAAACACUUAUGAUGAACUUCAUUUAUAUGCUAAAGAAGACGACAAAAUUUAGAUGGACGCAUGCUAUUGUUUACAUUUUAAUGUAGAACUCACUUUCCAUUGAAGCUUUAAUUACAUAGACUUUUCUGAGUGUUAUAUAUCAGUGCAUAUUUUUCUUCAGAGGACCUCUUUCAAGAUUUUUUAUGAAGGACGUAGGAGGAAUUCGGUUUGUUUAUCUUUUUUAUCCCCCUUCAUAUGUCUUUUCCACAAUCAGAUUCAUGCCGCACAACAUGAUGUUGAGAAAUGGUUUUGUACAUGUACGCUAUAAACUAUGUAAGAAAGUUUUUGAAAAGAGAGGUAUGGCACAAAUUUUGUCAACAUAAACAUAAAG